UACGGUCAUAUCAUUUUGAAACAUCAGUCCCUGUACGUUCACUGAAGUUAAGCAACGUCGAGCCUAGUCAGUACUAAGAUAGGUGACUGUUUGGUAAUACCAGGUGCUGUAA